rnacentral:rRNA from 1 species
AGCGAACGCUGGCGGCAGGCUUAACACAUGCAAGUCGAACGAUCCUUCGGGAUAGUGGCGGACGGGUGAGUAACACGUGGGAACGUGCCUUUUGGUUCGGAAUAACUCAGGGAAACUUGAGCUAAUACCGGAUGUGCCCUUCGGGGGAAGGAUUAUCGCCAUUAGAGCGGCCCGCGUCUGAUUAGCUUGUUGGUGAGGUAAUGGCUCACCAAGGCGACGAUCAGUAGCNGGUCUGAGAGGAUGAUCAGCCACACUGGGACUGAGACACGGCCCAGACUCCUACGGGAGGCAGCAGUUAGGAAUCUUGCGCAAUGGGGGAAACCCUGACGCAGCAACGCCGCGUGCGGGAUGAAGGC